GUUUAUCUCUAAACAUGUGGUAAAAUUGGAACAAUACAGAAGAGCCGCAUGGCUCUGCGAAAGGAUGACACGCAAAGUCGUGAAGCGCUCCAAAAAUGA
rnacentral:snRNA from 1 species